GAUGAACGCUGGCGGCGUGCCUAAUACAUGCAAGUCGAGCGAACAGAUGAGGAGCUUGCUCCUCUGACGUUAGCGGCGGACGGGUGAGUAACACGUGGAUAACCUACCUAUAAGACUGGGAUCACUUCGGGAAACCGGCGCUAAUACCGGAUAAUAUAUUGAACCGCAUGGUUCAAUAGUGAAAGACGGUUUUGCUGUCACUUCUCGAUGGAUCUGCGCCGCAUUAGCUAGUUGGUAAGGUAACGGCUUACCAAGGCAACGAUGCGUAGCCGACCUGAGAGGGUGAUCGGCCACACGGGAGCGGAGACACGGUCCAGACGCCUGCGGGAGGCAGCAGUAGGGAAUCGUCCGCAAUGGGCGAGAGCCUGACGGAGCAACGCCGCGUGAGUGAUGAAGGUCUUCGGAUCGGAAAACUCUGUUAUGAGGGAAGAACAAAUGUGUAAGUAACUAUGCACGUCUUGACGGUACCGAAUCAGAAAGCCACGGCUAACUACGUG
rnacentral:rRNA from 1 species